CAGAGAUAUGAUCGCUCGAGCUGCUUCAGUGUCGUCACUAUCGGCAUCUGGUGAUGUGAUAUGGCAAUAUAUACCUGUCGACUUGAAUAAUUCAUAUACCACACGUGUAUCGUGGUCCAUGUGAUGAAGUAUGGCUCAUAAUUAUCAAAGUGUGAGUUGUUUAAUAUCCUUUUCGAUAAUAUGAAUGAAUAGUUUCACGGACAUUUUAACCAUAAACGCCAAGCUAUACUGUUUGGAUUAUGUUUUUAGUGUGUUAAAUAAUUAAUAUUUUGUAAACAAGUCCAGAUAUUUUUGAAGAAAGAGGUAUUCUUCCUGAUCGUGUGGAAUUGUUGCUGAACAAGUGGGAUAAAAGUCUGUAGUCAAAACAUAAAUAUAAUUGAGUGAGUGAGUGAGUGAGGGAAGGGAGAGAGAGGUAGAGACUCACCUGUAGACCUGGGCUGACAGUGUACACAACUCUGAUGGCCUGACAGUUGGGGUGGGGGAGGGAGAGA